CAAAUUGAGAGUUUGAUCCUGGCUCAGGACGAACGCUGGCGGCGUGCCUAAUACAUGCAAGUCGAGCGAGCUGAAUUCAAAGAUCCCUUCGGGGUGAUUUGUUGGACGCUAGCGGCGGAUGGGUGAGUAACACGUGGGCAAUCUGCCCUAAAGACUGGGAUACCACUUGGAAACAGGUGCUAAUACCGGAUAACAACAUGAAUCGCAUGAUUCAAGUUUGAAAGGCGGCGAAAGCUGUCACUUUA
rnacentral:rRNA from 1 species